UGGCGGCAGAAGCGCGGUGGUCCCACCUGACCCCAUGCCGAACUCAGAAGUGAAACGCCGUAGCGCCGAUGGUAGUGUGGGGUCUCCCCAUGCGAGAGUAGGGAACUGCCA
rnacentral:rRNA from 1 species